AGUGAACGCUGGCGGUAGGCCUAACACAUGCAAGUCGAGCGGCAGCACAGUAAGAGCUUGCUCUUACGGGUGGCGAGUGGCGGACGGGUGAGGAAUACAUCGGAAUCUACUUUUUCGUGGGGGAUAACGUAGGGAAACUUACGCUAAUACCGCAUACGACCUACGGGUGAAAGCAGGGGAUCUUCGGACCUUGCGCGAUUGAAUGAGCCGAUGUCGGAUUAGCUAGUUGGCGGGGUAAAGGCCCACCAAGGCGACGAUCCGUAGCUGGUCUGAGAGGAUGAUCAGCCACACUGGAACUGAGACACGGUCCAGACUCCUACGGGAGGCAGCAGUGGGGAAUAUUGGACAAUGGGCGCAAGCCUGAUCCAGCCAUACCGCGUGGGUGAAGAAGGCCUUCGGGUUGUAAAGCCCUUUUGUUGGGAAGGAAAAGCAGCAGGUUAAUACCCCGCUGUUCUGACGGUACCCAAAGAAUAAGCACCGGCUAACUUCGUG
rnacentral:rRNA from 1 species